rnacentral:rRNA from 1 species
CCUACGGGAGGCAGCAGUGAGGAAUCUUGGUCAAUGGACGCAAGUCUGAACCAGCCAUGCCGCGUGCAGGAAGACGGCUCUAUGAGUUGUAAACUGCUUUUGUACGAGGGUAAAUCCCGAUACGUGUAUCGGGUUGAAAGUAUCGUACGAAUAAGGAUCGGCUAACUCCGUGCCAGCAGCCGCGGUAAUACGGAGGAUUCAAGCGUUAUCCGGAUUUAUUGGGUUUAAAGGGUGCGUAGGCGGUUCGAUAAGUUAGAGGUGAAAGCCCGGGGCUCAACUCCGGCACUGCCUCUGAUACUGGCGGGCUAGAGUUUAGUUGCGGUAGGCGGAAUGUAUGGUGGAGCGGUGAAAUGCAUAGAGAGCAUACAGAACACCGAUUGCGAAGGCAGCUUACCAAACUACGACUGACGUUGAGGCACGAAAGCGUGGGGAGCAAACAGGAUUAGAUACCCGAGUAGUC